rnacentral:rRNA from 1 species
AUCGAACGCUGGCGGCAGGCCUAACACAUGCAAGUCGAACGAGUGGCGGACGGGUGAGUAAUGUCUGGGAAACUGCCCGAUGGAGGGGGAUAAAUACUGGAAAAGGUAGCUAAUACCGCAUACCAUCGGAUGAGCCCAGAUGGGAUUAGCGAGUGGGUGGGGUAACGCCUCACCGAGGCGACGAUCCCUAGCUGGUCUGAGAGGUUGACGGGCCACACUGGAACGGGGCCACGGUCCCGACUCCUACGGGAGGCAGCAGUGGGGAAUAUUGCGAAAUGGGGGAAAGCCUGAUGCAGCCAUGCCGGGUGUAUGAAGAAGGCCUUCGGGUUGUAAAGUACUUUCAUCGGGGAGGCGGUACUCGCAGAAGAAGCACCGGCUAACUCCGUGCCAGCAGCCGCGGUAAUAC